rnacentral:rRNA from 1 species
GAUGAACGCUGGCGGCGUGCCUAAUACAUGCAAGUCGAACGAAGUCUUUAGGAAGCUUGCUUCCAAAGAGACUUAGUGGCGAACGGGUGAGUAACACGUAGGUAACCUGCCCAUGUGCCCGGGAUAACUGCUAGGAAACGGUAGACUAAAACCGGAUAGGUAUGGAGGGAGGCAUCUUCCUCAUAAUUAAACCACCGUUCGGGUGUGAACAGUGGAUCGGACCUGGCGGCGCAUUAGCUGGUUGGUGAGGUAACGGCCCACCAAGGCGAUGAUGCGUAGCCGACCUGAGGAGGGUGAACGGCCACAUUGGGACUGAGACACCGGCCCAAACUCCUACGGGAGGCAGCAGGUAGGGUAAUUUUUCGU